AAAAUUAGAGUGUUCAAAGCAGGCAGAUCCAAUUUUCUGCCACCGAAUACAUUAGCAUGGGAUAAUGGAAUAGGACCCUGUCCUCCUAUUUUCAGUUGGUUUUGGCAGCGCGAGGACUAGGGUAAUGAUUAAUAGGGAUAGUUGGGGGCAUUAAUAUUUAAUUGUCAGAGGUGAAAUUCUUGGAUUUAUGAAAGAUUAACUUCUGCGAAAGCAUCUGCCAAGGAUGUUUUCAUUAAUCAAGAACGAAAGUUAGGGGAUCGAAGACGAUCAGAUACCGUCGUAGUCUUAACCAUAAACGAUGCCGACCAGCGAUUAGGAGACGUUGAAUACAAAACACCACCAUCGGUGCGGUCGUCCUUGGCGGUUGGUCUUCAAAAGCCAGCGGCGGGGNCGGCUUAGCCCGGUGGCACCGGUGAA
rnacentral:rRNA from 1 species